AUGGCCUGUACUUCACUUUUGAUCACUCUCCUGGCUCUCUGCUCAGGGGCCAUUUCCCAGGCUGUUGUGACUCAGGAAUCUGCACUCACCACAUCACCAGGUGGAACAGUCACAUUCACUUGUGGAUCAAGUACUGGAGCUGUUACAACCAGUAACUAUGCCAACUGGGUCCAAGAAAAACCAGAUCAUUUAUUCACUGGUAUAAUAGGUGAUACCAGCUACAGAGCUCCAAGUGCUCCUGCCAGAUUCACUGGGUCCCUGAUUGGAGACAAGGCUGCCCUUACCAUCACAGGGGCACAGACUGAGGAUGAGGGGAUAUAUUUCUGUGCUCUCUGGUACAGCAACCAUUUCCACAAUGGCAUGUGCAGAUAG